rnacentral:lncRNA from 1 species
ACAAAGUAAACAACUUAUAUUCCUUUGUGCUUACAUAUUUUAAAGCUGUCACUUACUUUUGUCGGUUUAUUUUCACACAUUAGAGAAAAUAAUUGCUCCAGCAAGGUGCUUUCACUUCUGCCAUCUUCAAGCAUCUCAAGACGGCGAUCGGCUUUUCAUUGGUUGAUACUCCCAAGGAGGCGGGGUCUAAUCUCGGCAACAAAAACAUCUAUUGCAACUAUUUAUAAUAUAGUUUCAGCACAAAAAUGCCGUAAUCGUGUUUUAAUAAUCAAUGAACAUCAUACCAAUAUUAUUUUUUUAUCCGCAUUCAUGCAUGCAAUUUGUAAUCAACAAUUUUAUCGAUGGACGCUGCUUACGGAAUCCGCCAUUGAUGAAUAUAUAAUGAGGUAAUUGCGGAGUUACCUACCCCUG